rnacentral:snRNA from 1 species
GGAUGUGAAGGUGAUCUGGCUGCGACAUCUGUCACCUUGUUGAUCGCCAGGGUUGAUUCACCUGAUCUGGCAGGUGAGGCAGGUGUCCCCUUCUUCCCUCUCUGCUCCAUGUGCGUCCCUCCCGAAGCUGUUCUCAGUCGAAAAGGACAAGCAUCCUGAAUAGAGGAGGACUGUUCUUCUCAGUCAAGGCUAUACGAGUAGCUGCGAUCCCCUGCUAGAACCUCCAAACAAGCUCUUGGGAUCACUCACCGGUUGUACAUUUUUAUUUUUUUUUUAUCAAGGAUGAACCU